rnacentral:rRNA from 1 species
AGUGAACGCUGGCGGUAGGCCUAACACAUGCAAGUCUAACGGCAGCACAGUAAGAGCUUGCUCUUACGGGUGGCGAGUGGCGGACGGGUGAGGAAUACAUCGGAAUCUACUUUUUCGUGGGGGAUAACGUAGGGAAACUUACGCUAAUACCGCAUACGACCUACGGGUGAAAGCAUGGGAUCUUCGGACCUUGCGCGAUUGAAUGAGCCGAUGUCGGAUUAGCUAGUUGGCGGGGUAAAGGCCCACCAAGGCGACGAUCCGUAGCUGGUCUGAGAGGAUGAUCAGCCACACUGGAACUGAGACACGGUCCAGACUCCUACGGGAGGCAGCAGUGGGGAAUAUUGGACAAUGGGCGCAAGCCUGAUCCAGCCAUACCGCGUGGGUGAAGAAGGCCUUCGGGUUGUAAAGCCCUUUUGUUGGGAAAGAAAAGCAGCAGGUUAAUACCCCGCUGUUCUGACGGUACCCAAAGAAUAAGCACCGGCUAACUUCGUG